CUUACCAUCAGUUCGUUAGUAUAUCUUAAAUACCGUUCUUGGUCUGCAUCAUAGCAAACGAAAAGUGCAUUUCAUCAUCUCUCUGACUCAAGAAUAGUCAUCGUUUAACCAUCCACGCACAUUGCAAACUAAGUACUUGAUGCCAGAAAACAUUUCGCAUCAACACACUCGUGCGACAAUAUGUAGUGAACGACCCGACGUCCCCUUUCCCGAUACAAAUUCAUAGCUAAAAAUAAUCACCGCGAAAUGUAACGUCUAGAAAUAAAUAACGCGGGAAACGGUCUCGGCAGACGAUAUCGCCACGCUUUUUCAAACGCCACGUGUCGCGCCGCCAUCUUAGAAAAAGCGCGCUAAAAUUUCCCCCGUUUGCAAACUUAACCUCUUUCGUUGGUCUAUGGUCUUGUGGUCUGGCCGCUUGGCUUUUUUGACAGAGCGUUCCAAAACCUAAAUGUCUGUCAAUUUUAACAUAAUAUAUGUCAUUUGCGAUUUUCGAUACACAAUUUUUUGCAAUCAAUUUUUUUCUACUUCUGUGAUAUUUUUUAAAUGUUAAAUGUGAUAUCUUCGUUUUAUUCGGGCUUUGCCCUUUGAAAAUUGAAAGUGUAACGAUGCGUUAAGUUUGCGAACGCUCUUUACAGUGUGUGAUAACUUUUUGUAUGAGGGAAGACCGACGGCUGAGAUGUAAACUGUAUGUGCAUAGACAAUUGUGUCGUCCAAAGUUUGUGGUUAAUAAAUAAAACUAAAAAAACUCUCUUAACUUAACUCUGCAACGGACUAAAAAAAACGUUAUAAUAAUAAAGUAACAAACAGUUUGUUUUAGUUUUUGUUUAUAUUCUAUUUAAGUGGUGUUUUAGAGAAGUUUCCAUCUUUAAAAUUCUUAGUAUUGACAAGGAAUACCCACAUUUGGAUCCUUUGUAUUGCCCUCCUGCAAAAAUUCCAAUUUCGCAUUAAAUAAUUGUUCUAUUCUAAAAAAUUGAAAUUUGGAAACCUCGUAUACCGUUACAAACAGUCCAUUCAUAAAAUAAACUCUAGUUAUUGGGAAAAUUGAACAAAAAUAUAAUAAGAAGAAGUAAGGAAUCAUCCGCCAAAGGAGCAAUUAUCGGCCUGUUUGCUAGUAACCUAUAUGCUCUCAUACUACGAGGCUCUGGUGAUUCUAGCAUGCUUGACAACGGGUCUGAUCGCGCUCGGCCAUGAGGUGUGGAUGUCGACGGUGCUUCGAGCCGCGGCCUCGCAGCGUCGCGCCGCAGCCCAGUCGAGCGCACCCAAGGCCCUCGCAGCCCCGACUGCCGAUUGUGGGGGGGCGGACCUAUGGGGUCAAUACUUACCAGAAAGCCAGACCAAAGCAAUGUAGACAACUUUUAUAGCAUAGUAAGUU